rnacentral:rRNA from 1 species
GCGAAGUGCGUGCGAGCGGGCGCGGUAAGACGGGGGGUGCGAGCGUUGGCCGGAAGCAGUGGGCGUAAAGGGCGCGUAGGCGGUUUGUUAAGGCACUUGUGAAAUCCCGGUGCUCAACGCCGGGGCUGCAGGUGAGACUGGCAGACUAGAGCUCGGUAGAGGCGAAUGGAAUUCCCGGUGUAGCGGUGGAAUGCGUAGAUAUCGGGAAGAACAUCGGUGGCGAAGGCGGUUCGCUGGGCCGAUGCUGACGCUGAUGCGCGAAAGCGUGGGGAGCAAACAGGAUUAGAUACCCUUGUAGUC